rnacentral:rRNA from 1 species
GACAUGCAGAGAACUUUCCAGAGAUGGAUGGUGCCUUCGGAACUCUGACACAGGUGCUGCAUGGCUGUCGUCAGCUCGUGUCGUGAGAUGUUGGGUUAAGUCCCGUAACGAGCGCAACCCUUGUCCUUAGUUACCAGCACGUUAUGGUGGGCACUCUAAGGAGACUGCCGGUGACAAACCGGGAGGAAGGUGGGGAUGACGUCCAGUCAUCAUGGCCCUUACGGCCUGGGCUACACACGUGCUACAAUGGUCGGUACAAAGGGUUGCCAAGCCGCGAGGUGGAGCUAAUCCCAUAAAACCGAUCGUAGUCCGGAUCGCAGUCUGCAACUCGACUGCGUGAAGUCGGAAUCGCUAGUAAUCGUGAACCAGAAUGUCACGGUGAAUACGUUCCCGGGCCUU